AUGCUAGUGAUGUAGACAAUUUCUAAGAAGAUACUUGAAUCUCUCUCAUGCAUGAUACACAUUCUCAUCUGGCUUUUGUUUGAAACUCAAGAUCUUACUCAUCACCUU
rfam:Capsicum annuum cultivar Zunla-1 chromosome 8, whole genome shotgun sequence